UUUUUUUUGCAUAUGUUGCUUCAGUUCAAUGUGGCGUUACAGGUUUGCUGUGGAUGUGACUGAAUUGCGGAUUUUCUUUUUGAAAGCCGGCAGGCAAAGUUUGCACAGAAAUGUGAGAUUUUUCUCAAGAUCUUUCCCAUCCUGUCAUAAAACUUGUUUA